GAUGAACGCUAGCGGCAGGCCUAACACAUGCAAGUCGAGGGGUAGAGGAAGCUUGCUUCCUUGAGACCGGCGCACGGGUGCGUAACGCGUAUGCAAUCUACCUUGUACUGAGGGAUAGCCCAGAGAAAUUUGGAUUAAUACCUCAUAGUAUUAUGAAAUCGCAUGGUUUUAUAAUUAAAGUUCCAACGGUACAAGAUGAGCAUGCGUCCCAUUAGUUAGUUGGUAAGGUAACGGCUUACCAAGACAAUGAUGGGUAGGGGUCCUGAGAGGGAGAUCCCCCACACUGGUACUGAGACACGGACCAGACUCCAACGGGAGGCAGCAGUGAGGAAUAUUGGUCAAUGGACGCAAGUCUGAACCAGCCAUGCCGCGUGCAGGAUGAAGCAUCUAUGGUGUGUAAACUGCUUUUAUACGGGAAGAAACACUCCUACGUGUAGGAACUUGACGGUACCGUAAGAAUAAGGAUCGGCUAACUCCGUGCCAGCAGCAGCCGCCGUAA
rnacentral:rRNA from 1 species